rnacentral:sRNA from 1 species
GUGCUGGGGUGUACAUCUACACUAGACACCUUCCUGCUUCCCUCCUUCCAGAGCAGACCUCUUUGUCACCCUGAGCUCCUUGUUUCUUAAGCAGUCAUGUCUGUGACAAAAAGUACCGAGGGUCCCCAGGGAGCCGUUGCCAUCAAAUUGGACCUUAUGUCGCCUCCUGAAAGUGCCAAGAAGUUGGAGAACAAGGACUCUACAUUCUUGGAUGAAAGUCCUUCAGAGUCAGCAGGCUUGAAGAAGACCAAGGGCAUAACAGUGUUCCAGGCCUUGAUUCACCUGGUGAAAGGCAACAUGGGCACAGGGAUCCUGGGACUACCCCUCGCUGUGAAGAACGCGGGCAUCCUGAUGGGUCCACUCAGUCUGCUGGUGAUGGGCUUCAUAGCCUGCCACUGUAUGCACAUCCUGGUCAAGUGUGCCCAGCGCUUCUGUAAGAGGCUUAACAAGCCCUUUAUGGACUAUGGGGACACAGUGAUGCAUGGACUAGAAGCCAACCCCAAUGCCUGGCUCCAGAAUCACGCUCACUGGGGAAGGCAUAUCGUGAGCUUCUUCCUUAUUGUCACCCAACUUGGCUUCUGCUGUGUGUACAUUGUGUUUUUGGCUGAUAAUUUAAAACAGGUAGAGGUUUCUAGAGAAAACGGGAGGGGAAAAGAUGGACAAGGACACGCCACUGCUAGUUGUUUGAUAAACUGCUUCUUCUCUCUGGGUCCUCAUCAAUGUAACAAAGGAAGUUAAACUAGAUGUUGUCAAACUUGCCUCCCCUAGUUCACAUAUCUGCAGAUUUCUGUGUGGUUACUUUUGCCACAAUACCCUUUGUCCAGUAUCUUAGACCUGUCCUCAAAGUUGAUCUCUACUGAACUGGAAAGACCCUUGGAUUUUGUUAAUCCUCCUGCCUUGAAGCUUAAUUAUACUUAAUGCUUCUAAAAUUGAUAUGGGUCUUCUUUUGAUGAUUCCUAAUCUUCUUUAGGUCAUCUUUCUUUUUCUUUUCUUUUUUUUUUUUUUCUGAGACAGGAUAUUGCUCUGUCACCCAGGCUGGAGUGCAGUGGUGAGAUCACAGCUCACUGCAG